rnacentral:rRNA from 1 species
CAGGAUGAACGCUGGCGGCGUGCCUAAUACAUGCAAGUCGAGCGAAUGGAUUAAGAGCUUGCUCUUAUGAAGUUAGCGGCGGACGGGUGAGUAACACGUGGGUAACCUGCCCAUAAGACUGGGAUAACUCCGGGAACCUUACCGGGGCUUAAUACCGGAUAACAUUUUGAACCGCAUGGUUCGAAAUUGAAAGGCGGCUUCGGCUGUCACUUAUGGAUGGACCCGCGUCGCAUUAGCUAGUUGGUGAGGUAAGCGGCUCACCAAGCGCAACGAUGGAUCGUAGCCGACCUGAGAGGGUGAUCGGCCACACUGGGACUGCCAGACACGGCCCAGACUCCUACGGGAGGCAGCAGUAGGGAAUCUUGCCCGCAAUGGACGAAAGUCUGACGGAGCAACGCCGCGUGAGUGAUGAAGGCUUUCGGGUCGUAAAACUCUGUUGUUAGGGAAGAACAAGUGCUAGUUCGGAAUAUAGCUGGCACCUUGACGGUACCUAACCAGAAAGCCACGGCUAACUACGUGCCAGCAUGCCGCGGUGAAUACGUAGGUGGCAAGCGUUAUCCGGAAUUAUUGGGCGUAAAGCGCGCGCAGGUGGUUUCUUAAGUCUGAUGUGAAAGCCCACGGCUCAACCGUGGAGGGUCAUUGGAAACUGGGAGACUUGAGUGCAGAAGAGGAAAGUGGAAUUCCAUGUGUAGCGGUGAAAUGCGUAGAGAUAUGGAGGAACACCAGUGGCGAAGGCGACUUUCUGGUCUGUAACUGACACUGAGGCGCGAAAGCGUGGGGAGCAAACAGGAUUAGAUACCCUGGUAGUCCACGCCGUAAACGAUGAGUGC